AUGGGCUGCACCGCGUCCAAACUGGACAACGAGGACACCGUCCGCCGCUGCAAGGAGCGACGUCGUUUAAUGAAAGCCGCCGUCCACGCCCGCCACCACCUUGCCGCCGCCCACGCCGACUACUGCCGCUCCCUCCGCCUCACCGGCUCCGCCCUCGUCUCCUUCGCCUCCUUCGAACCCCUCUCCAUCUCCGACCAAACCCCCGCCGUCUUCCUCCACCCCAACCCCCCUCCCCCUUCCUCCAAUCCCCUCCCUCCACGUGUCCCUCCCUCGCCUGCCCCCUCCUCCCUCCACCCCCCUCCGCCCCCUCCUCCGCUCUCCCCCACCAUCGCCAGCUCCAAGCUCCCCCACAUCCUCUCCGACUCCGACGACCUCUCCUCCUCCCGCCGCCACCGCCGCCGGAGAAACCCCCCGCCGGGGCCGAAGCUUCCCCAUAUACUCUCCGACACCAGCCCCUCCUCCUCUCCCCGGAGCCAGAAAUCCAACUUCACCGGCGCCGGCGGCAUCCCGACGGCGUUUCAGGCGAACUCGACGUACUCCAGCACGCCGUCCCAGGCCUCCUCCAUGUGGAAUUGGGAGAAUUUCUACCCUCCCUCCCCGCCGGACUCCGAAUACUUCAAUCAGAAAAAGGAGCACCGCGACGACUCAACCCAUUCCCGACACCUCUCCGACGACGACGAUGAUUCCGAACCUGACACCGAAACCGAGAGAUCGGAGUACAACUACUUCCAUAACGUCCCGAAAUCAUCGCAACCCGCCGCCACGAAAAACCACUCCUACUCUCAAUCGGAGAAGUACGCCGCCUCCGAGAGAUCAGAGUACGACUUCUUCCUCCGCAACCCCAAAGCUCCGAGCAAGGCUCAGUCGGAGAAGUACGCGCCGUCGGAGAGAGAAGAGGUGCAGUGCAGCGAGUGGGGCGAUCACGAUCGCUACAGCACCACGAGCUCGUCGGAGAACGAAGAUGACGACGAUCGGGAUUCGAGAUCGGAGAUGAGGACCCGGUCCAAUUUCGACCCGUCGGUUCGGGCCGAGUCGGUCGCGGGGUCGGUGCCGCCGUCAGCCCAGGCGAUGCCGAAGUACGCGCCGAGCAUGAGGUCGGAGGGGUCCGAAGGGGGAGUACUUACCGGAGCAGUGAAAUCUCCAACAUGAAAAUGGUGGUGAGGCAUAAAGACUUGAAGGAGAUUGUGGAGGCGAUUAAGGAGAAUUUCGAUAAGGCCGCGUCGGCCGGAGACCAGGUUUCCGAGAUGCUCGAGUCUAACCGCGCCCAGCUUGAUCGAAGCUUCCGGCAGCUCAAGAAGACAGUGUAUCACUCCAGUAGUGUGCUGAGCACAUUGAGCUCGACUUGGACGUCGAAACCGCCACUAGCGGUGAAAUACCGCCUUGACGCGGCGGUGCUCAAUGAACCGGGCGGUCAGAAGAGUCUAUGCUCCACUUUUGAGCGGCUAUUGGCUUGGGAGAAGAAGCUCUAUGAGGAAGUCAAGGCUAGAGAAGGUGUCAAGAUUGAACAUGAGAAGAAGUUAUCUUCACUACAAAAUCAGGAGUACAAAGGAGAAGACGAAAUCAAGCUAGACAAGACCAAAGCUUCAAUAAAGAGGCUGCAAUCACUAAUUAUUGUCACAUCUCAGGCCGUCUCAACCACCUCAACUGCCAUCAUUGAUCUUAGAGACUCUGAUCUUGUUCCUCAGCUAGUUGAGCUGUGCCAUGGAUUUAUGUACAUGUGGAGAUCAAUGCACCAGUACCAUGAAGUCCAGAACAACAUUGUACAGCAAGUUAGGGGACUUGUGAACCGGUCAUCCAAAGGCGACGCAACCUCAGAACUGCAUCGGCAGGCAACUCGUGACCUGGAAUCAGCUGUUUCUGCCUGGCACUCCAGCUUUUGCCGCUUAAUAAAGUUCAAGCGGGACUUCAUCCAGUCUGUUCAUGGUUGGUUCAAGCUCAGCCUUCUUCCUGUAAACAAUGACACCUUCACUGGCAACAACGAGCCUUCUGAUGUAUAUUUCUUCUGUGACGAGUGGAAGCUUGCACUUGAACGUGUCCCUGAUACAGUGGCUUCAGAGGCAAUCAAGAGCUUCAUCAAUGUUGUCCAUGUAAUCUCCAUAAAACAAAGUGAAGAGCUGAAGAUCAAAAAACGAACUGAAACUGCAUCAAAGGAGCUAGAAAAGAAGGCUUCUUCUCUCCGCAACAUUGAAAAGAAGUUCUAUAAUUCCUACUCCAUGGUUGGUAUUGGACUUCCCGAUUCAGGGCCUGAUAAUGGGCAAGGUCUGGAUGCUCGAGACCCGCUUUCUGAGAAGAAAUCUGAACUUGCAACCUCCCAGAGGCGGGUUGAAGAAGAAAUGAAUAGACAUUCAAAGGCAGUGGAGGUGACUAGAGCAAUGACUCUAAACAACCUUCAAACAGGAUUGCCAGGGGUUUUCCAGGCACUGACCAGUUUUUCUGGUUUAUUUACAGAAGCACUCGAUUCGGUUUGUACUCGUUCCUACUCCAUCAAAUAGAUGGAAAAUGGAUCAUCAUAGUUUUGGUGCCUGUGGUUUUGUUGGUAAGUUAAAUUAUAGAGCUGGGGAUUUUUUGGCGGGGGGCUCAUAUUGUU